CAUGCAAGUCGAACGAAGCACCUUGAUUUGAUUCUUCGGAUGAAGAUCUUGGUGACUGAGUGGCGGACGGGUGAGUAACGCGUGGGUAACCUGCCUCAUACAGGGGGAUAACAGUUAGAAAUGACUGCUAAUACCGCAUAAGACCACAGCACCGCAUGGUGCAGGGGUAAAAACUCUGGUGGUAUGAGAUGGACCCGCGUCUGAUUAGGUAGUUGGUGGGGUAACGGCCUACCAAGCCGACGAUCAGUAGCCGACCUGAGAGGGUGACCGGCCACAUUGGGACUGAGACACGGCCCAAACUCCUACGGGAGGCAGCAGUGGGGAAUAUUGCACAAUGGGGGAAACCCUGAUGCAGCGACGCCGCGUGAGCGAUGAAGUAUUUCGGUAUGUAAAGCUCUAUCAGCAGGGAAGAAAAUGACGGUACCUGACUAAGAAGCACCGGCUAAAUACGUGCCAGCAGCCGCGGUAAUACGUAUGGUGCAAGCGUUAUCCGGAUUUACUGGGUGUAAAGGGAGCGUAGACGGAGUGGCAAGUCUGAUGUGAAAACCCGGGGCUCAACCCCGGGACUGCAUUGGAAACUGUCAAUCUAGAGUACCGGAGAGGUAAGCGGAAUUCCUAGUGUAGCGGUGAAAUGCGUAGAUAUUAGGAGGAACACCAGUGG
rnacentral:rRNA from 1 species